CAUUACUGGCUAUAUAUAGAACCACAGACAAGGCGGACAUGGAAUUUUGCAGCAAACUUGAUGGCUUAAUUGGGCAAGGACUUUUCAGUAAUGCAAUAUCAAGUGGACCAAAUGCUAUGCUUAACUCUGUGCGCUAUAUGUCAUCAACAAGACUUUUCGUUGGAGGUCUCUCCUAUGGGACUGAUGAUCAGUCACUCAGGUUUUGGAAAUGUGGUUGAAGGCUAUCUCAUAAUUGAUGCAGCCAGAGUCAUUACUGAUAGAGACACUGGAAGGUCGAGAGGAUUUGGGUUCGUGAACUUUUGACAAUGGUGAAUCAGCAAGCAAUGCUAUGGCUAGCAUGGCUGGUCAGGAAUAACAAGGCUGGAAGUAUCCAUGUAAAGCUGCUCUAAUGAUAGUCCCGGUGGUGGGCCUCAAGGUGGUUUCAGUGGUGGUUAUGGCAGUGGCUAUGUCAAGGUUACGGUGGUGGAUCUGCAGAACAGAAUGACUUUGAAGGGGAUUCCAGCAUUUUUCAACGAAUAUAAGAUAUAAUGCUUGCCAUGUAAACAAAUAUCAGCAGCAAUAUCCAUGAUCAAAUUCACGUGGCAAGCAUUAUAUCUUGAUAUUCGUCAAAAAAUGCUUCAAAUUCCCCUGCUGGAAUCCACUUAUGUAGUUUAAUUUGGACCCUACAACAGUAAUUGUGGUUUUUAUGGUGCGAAAAACCACAAUCAGCAUACUUAGAUGAUGGAUAUCCUGUUGUUAGGUGUCAUUUGUCACUGGUAAAUUUCUUCAAGAGAUAAUAUUGAUGGGAAUGUAUAGUAUAGUAUAGUAGUCGAUAUGAUGUGAAUGAAAUCGAAAACCAUAAUGUGUUGAAGUUGAGCUGGGACAAACGAGAAGAUGGUGACUCUCGUUAUUUGGUACCGUUCCUCCUAAUUGGGUUCACAGCUUGCGGUUGUUUCGACAUGACCCUCCCCCGUUACCUGUUCUUGCCCUGCAAGUAUCAUGGCGACAACUUCGUCAUGCCUUACGACGAAGGAUUC